CGGGGGGGGGGGGAGGCCCACAACCAUCUGUAAUGUCAGUUUUGGGGGACCCGAUGCCCUCUUCUAGCCUCCUCAGGCACUAGGCAUGCGCGUGGUGCACAGACAUGCUGGCAAAACACCCCUGAGAUAAAAUUAAAUUAAAGGCCUGCAAAUACAGCCAGUGUUUACCACUCUGUUGGCUGAACGUGUAUUGGUUGGCAGCUAGUGUAAUUCUCUGUGUGGAUUGCUUGAGCACACCAUUGUGCUAGUCAGUUUCUUAACCCUUGACCCGGUGCUACUCCAGGGGAUGCAGGUGGAUGCGGUAAACAAACUAAUAAACAAAAUGAUUUCAGAUACCCAGGUUUACAAGAUAAAGGGACAGAAGCACGGGGUACAGAGACUCGCCAUAAGGUGUAGUGGAAGGUGUAGUGGACUUUUGUAAGAGGCCGGGCAGGUUAAAAAAUUACUCCCAAAAUAAAAGGGUUUGGGGUUGAUAGGAAAGAUUUAUUUUGUCCUUUUGUCAAAGAAAAUGGAGACAAGGUGAAUGUAGAAGGGACAAGGGUUUGGGGUGACAUCUUUGGGUCAGGAAAAAAGGUGAAGAUGUGUAUAGAGUGCCUGGUUACGGAUUACAGGUCUUGGCGAUGACAGUCUUGUGAAACAGGAAGCUGUGGGACAAGCUGUGGGAAGUUGUGAAACAGGGACAGUGGACCGGGCGUUAGCAAAGGGUGAAGGAAGUGCUUACUGUCCACCAUGGAGCUCACCGGCCUGGGCAGUCCCUGGGCAGUCGCAACCUGGACACUGAGAUAGGGGGCCUGUACCGCUUGUGGUUCCUUUUUCCUUGCUAGCAUCUGACUACCAAGGAUUUUGAGGGCAGAAAGCUAAAGGAGUUUGAUCCAGGUAGGAGGUGAGCAGGAAGUAUGCUAGAAAGUAGGGGUGAAGUCAGAGACCAAGGUGUGGCUGGACCCAGAUAAGAAAGAGGGAGCAAAGUCAGCUUCUGGUGAUGAAGACAUACAGGGGACAGCGAUAACUAGUGGUCAUUGCGAGCUCGGCGUAAGAGAGUAAAAGGUUCUUGGGGGGGUGAUUGAAGCUGUGUUCCCUCUUCCCUCAUUUUGCAAAGGGAGCAGUUACGGGUGCUGGCUGGAGCUCCUAGCAGAGAACAGAGCUGCCCAGGAGAGAAAAUAGGGAACGAAAAAGAGUUGUUGAAAGUGUUCGGUACCAUUGGGCAUCAGACCUAGAAGGAAAACUGAAUCAAAUGCCUGCUCACCCUAUGGACACUAUAGAGGGAAGAGACUCUUACCUGCACUUGAAAAAGGAUUGUGGAUGAUCACCACACACACACACACACACACACACACACACACACACACACACACACACACACGGGUGAAAUUGGGCAGUACUUAAAGGGAGUCAUGUUCCAGAACUAGUCAGCUUCAUUUCAGGGCUUAGUCUUGGAUGCUCUUGGCCUGCUGAGAGAGAUCGGCCAGGCCCUUCCCAGGGACUGCAGAUUGCUGUCCAGAGGAAUCCUCCUCCGGAGUUGAGAGUCAGAUAACCCAGGUGGGACAAGCCAUCCUCCAUGGCAGGAGGCGGCUUGCAGGGUUCGAGGUUGGUUUUCUGCCUCCCAGAGUCUCUCCCUUGCCUCUGCUGAGGGUCCUGACCGACCUCAGCUUGUUUCUUUGCUCACCCCCACUUUACCUUUAUCACCAAGUCCUUUAUGCUAGGGUCUGGUUGGUCUCCUUUCCCCAGGGGUCCUGAGAGAGUCUCCUACUCCCCACAUGUAGAGUUCACCCAGUUCCCUGACACACAGUCCCUGGGCAUGAUUGGUUCUGCGUUUCUUUGAAAAUCAGUAACUUACAUAAAACCAUUAGCUCUAAUUAUAAUUAGUGUGAAAAUGUUGAGUUUCAAUUGAUGGAAAAAUUAGCUUAAAUGUUAGUCUGGUUAUAUUGUAUUUUAAAAAUUCUAGCUCUAAAAGCAAAUCCCUAAGGCCUUUCAGAAGCUUGGUGGCAACUGUAAACAUAUGGUAAGCAGCUAUAACAUACAUGUAACAUAUGGAACAUACAUGGAACAUGUAUUAGUCAGUUUUCUGUUGCCAAUAGCCAAGUACCACAGACAGAGUAAGAUUUUUAAAAAGUUUACUUUAGUUUAUGGUUCUAGAGGGUCCAAGGUCUUGGAGCUGGAGAAAUGGCUCAGUGAUUAAGAGCACUGGCUAUUCUUCCUGAGGUCUUGAGUUCAAUUCCCAGCACCCACCAAGUGACUCACAACCAUCUGUAAUGUAGUCUAAUAGAAUCCAGUGUCCUCUUUUGGGAUACAGAUAUACAUGCAGAUAAAACACCCAUAUAUAAAAAAUACAUAAACAAGUUUCCACCCUUCAUAGUGGAGAUUAAAUUUCAACAUAUAAACGCAGACCGUGGCUAAAACAUAACGGCCUUGUUUUAUUUAUUAUGACGAUGAUGAUGAUUAUCUGGAAUACUGUUGUUUUUGUGUUUUGUCCUAGGGACUGACCCCGGACCUCCCUUGUGCUAGGCAGCAUUCGAUCACUGAGCCCCACCCUCAGCCCCAGAGACCACAUUCCUAACCAGCAAGCUGUACUUCUGAACCGCACAGAAUAAUUCUGUCGCUUGUUCCGCACAGACUGGACCAAGCCCCAACCUCGUUCACACGGCAGCUUUAGAUUAUCAGUCUCUCAGGCAGCUGCAGAGCUUCAGCAGUACUGCAUACAGAAUGCAUGCAAGGACGCCCUGCUGCUUGGUGUUCCGGCUGGAAGCAACCCCUUCCGGGAGCCCAGGUCCUGUGCUUUACUUUGAAGACUGGGAAGAAGCUCUCUGAGGAACCUGUGUGUGCAUGGUGAUGGAUGACUACCGCCAAGUCCCAAGAAAACAGAUUUCAAGAGCCAAAUCAUUUUCUCUGUGGCCUGGUCCUAGGUCAAAAUUCUACAGAAAUCAAUGUUUUGUCUUAUUUUUUAACCUCAUUACCAAACUCACUGGGUGCAUCUCUCAGUCAAGCCUGUGCGGCCCUGCCUGGGAUGGAGGCAUGUUUUGUUUACUGGGUAUUUGCAUUUCUGGAUGGAAAUGUUGUAUUUCCGAAAACUGAGUAUUUGUAAUUUUCCUAACAUUUUUAUACUGUAAUAAAAAAUUUUCAUAAAAAUUUACAGUUACUAAAUUAGACAAAGUAUAAAUUGGGGAAUGAUUGAUAUGCUGGUUUCGUAAAGGAGGCCUUUCCAGUCCCAGUGAGCAAACGGUCUGACCUGGACGGGAAGCUGGGGAGCCGCUCCUUAGCACACGGAGCAUGGAUGUGUUGUUAGGUGGCCCUCCCGUGUGAAGCCAUUAGAACUUUCUUUAGUUCCUGUACUCUACAACUUAUAAUUGUGUCUGAUGCUUUGAAAAGUGUGCUCAUGCCUUUAAAAAUGUUUAAAUGUGAUCUACACUUAGAACGUUGCAAUUGGUUAAAAACAAAAUAUGAAGAUAUUAUAACCUAAAAGAAUUCAUGUCACACAUAUUUUAUUGGGGGUGAUGUGCCUUUGAUUUAAUUGGGGACACUUUUAGAAGGAAAGUUUGUGUUUGUGAUUAUCUUUGAAGAGCUUGGAAAUAAAAUUUUUGCCUAAUUCAUCAUUUUCCAUGACAACAGUAGUUUGUGUUUGGUGUGGUCUUUUGGGCCCCAUGGAUCUCUGUUUGCUGGUGAGUGUGAGUGCAGAAG
ensembl:lncRNA Gng10 G protein subunit gamma 10